rnacentral:lncRNA from 10 species
CACUACUCCACCUCACCCAUCCCAUACCCACCAGCAACAAUUGCACACAUCAUUACUGAGGAGAUGAGGGAUUGGGAUCCUAAGAGAACCUGACAUUUUUCCAUGGGAUGAUGGCAAGAUGGUCUCUAAACUCCAGGAGCUUCUCUCUCCCCAGGUGUGCACAGGAGGGCAGGUGGCUUAAAAUGAAUUGUCAGCUGCUGGGAGCCAUGUGGGUCCUAUGGAAGCUUCUCCAACAGCCUCAGGGCAGCAGCAGCAGCACCCAGAGUAGCUCUUGUUCCUCUACGAAACCUCCUCAAAAAGGUACCAUGGCCAUGAAUAAAGCAUUCAAGACAGUCACCUUCCAGGAGGGUCCCACGAGGAGAAAUGAGGGGAAGAACACAAGAAAGGCUUUGUCUGACUACAGGGAACAAUUCAUUGGCAGAAAUUGCCCUGAGAUUGACUCCCCAUUGCCUUGGGUCCCAAGGUCCUGGGAGAGAAAAGAUAUAUUCUGGAAAAGAAGAGGAGGAGGAAGAAGAAUGACUGUAAAGGAAGGAGCAGUACUGUUUUCAUGAGGACCUACUAUGUGCCAGACAUUAUUCUAGGUGCUGGGGCUACCAUGGUUUGCUGGGGAGCACAAGAAGCUGCGAUUUUUGUUCUGCUGAUUUCCAUUAACACCCCCUACCCACCCCACCUUCACCCCUGGCAAAUAGACGCCGCUAAAUGGAGGGAAACUUGCAGCUACUUGGGAGGCUAAGGUGGGAAGAUCGCUUGAGCCCAGGAGGUCGAGGCUGCGGUGAACCAAGAUUGUGACACUGCACUCCAGCCUGGGCAACAGAUGCUGUGUGAAGAUGAAGGCAGAGAUCAGGCUGAUGCUUAUGGAAAGCCAGAGAUUGCCAACAAACCACCAAAAGCUAGGAGAGAGGCCUGGAACAGAUUCUCUCUGAGUCCUCAGAAGGAACCAACCCUGCCAACACUGUGAUCUUGGACUUCUAAACCCCAGAACUGUGAAAUAAUAAAUGUCUGAUGUCUAAGCCAGCCAGUUUGUGGUAGUUUGUUACAGCAGCCCUAGAAACCUAACAUAUGGUAGACAAAGUGUAGAAGGAGUCGGAUCGUUGCCAGACUGAAAGC